rnacentral:rRNA from 1 species
GGUUAAGCGACUAAGCGUACACGGUGGAUGCCCUGGCAGUCAGAGGCGAUGAAGGGCGUGCUAAUCUGCGAUAAGCGCCGGUAAGGUGAUAUGAACCGUUAUAACCGGCGAUACCCGAAUGGGGAAACCCAGUGUGAUUCGUCACACUAUCAUUAACUGAAUCCAUAGGUUAAUGAGGCGAACCGGGGGAACUGAAACAUCUAAGUACCCCGAGGAAAAGAAAUCAACCGAGAUUCCCCCAGUAGCGGCGAGCGAACGGGGAGGAGCCCAGAGCCUGAAUCAGCAUGUGUGUUAGUGGAAGCGUCUGGAAAGGCGCGCGAUACAGGGUGACAGCCCCGUACACAAAAGCGCAUGUGCUGUGAGCUCGAUGAGUAGGGCGGGACACGUGGUAUCCUGUCUGAAUAUGGGGGGACCAUCCUCCAAGGCUAAAUACUCCUGACUGACCGAUAGUGAACCAGUACCGUGAGGGAAAGGCGAAAAGAACCCCGGCGAGGGGAGUGAAAAAGAACCUGAAACCGUGUACGUACAAGCAGUGGGAGCACCCUUUGGGGUGUGACUGCGUACCUUUUGUAUAAUGGGUCAGCGACUUAUAUUCUGUAGCAAGGUUAACCGUAUAGGGGAGCCGGAGGGAAACCGAGUCUUAAUUGGGCGUUAAGUUGCAGGGUAUAGACCCGAAACCCGGUGAUCUAGCCAUGGGCAGGUUGAAGGUUGGGUAACACUAACUGGAGGACCGAACCGACUAAUGUUGAAAAAUUAGCGGAUGACCUGUGGCUGGGGGUGAAAGGCCAAUCAAACCGGGAGAUAGCUGGUUCUCCCCGAAAGCUAUUUAGGUAGCGCCUCGUGAAUUCAUCUCCGGGGGUAGAGCACUGUUUCGGCUAGGGGGCCAUCCCGGCUUACCAACCCGAUGCAAACUGCGAAUACCGGAGAAUGUUAUCACGGGAGACACACGGCGGGUGCUAACGUCCGUCGUGAAGAGGGAAACAACCCAGACCGCCAGCUAAGGUCCCAAAGUCAUGGUUAAGUGGGAAACGAUGUGGGAAGGCCCAGACAGCCAGGAUGUUGGCUUAGAAGCAGCCAUCAUUUAAAGAAAGCGUAAUAGCUCACUGGUCGAGUCGGCCUGCGCGGAAGAUGUAACGGGGCUAAACCAUGCACCGAAGCUGCGGCAGCGACGCUUAUGCGUUGUUGGGUAGGGGAGCGUUCUGUAAGCCUGUGAAGGUGGCCUGUGAGGGUUGCUGGAGGUAUCAGAAGUGCGAAUGCUGACAUAAGUAACGAUAAAGCGGGUGAAAAGCCCGCUCGCCGGAAGACCAAGGGUUCCUGUCCAACGUUAAUCGGGGCAGGGUGAGUCGACCCCUAAGGCGAGGCCGAAAGGCGUAGUCGAUGGGAAACGGGUUAAUAUUCCCGUACUUGGUGUUACUGCGAAGGGGGGACGGAGAAGGCUAUGUUGGCCGGGCGACGGUUGUCCCGGUUUAAGCGUGUAGGUGUGUGUUCCAGGUAAAUCCGGUUCACUUUAACACUGAGGCGUGACGACGAGGCACUACGGUGCUGAAGCAACAAAUGCCCUGCUUCCAGGAAAAGCCUCUAAGCAUCAGGUAACAUCAAAUCGUACCCCAAACCGACACAGGUGGUCAGGUAGAGAAUACCAAGGCGCUUGAGAGAACUCGGGUGAAGGAACUAGGCAAAAUGGUGCCGUAACUUCGGGAGAAGGCACGCUGACACGUAGGUGAAGUGAUUUACUCACGGAGCUGAAGUCAGUCGAAGAUACCAGCUGGCUGCAACUGUUUAUUAAAAACACAGCACUGUGCAAACACGAAAGUGGACGUAUACGGUGUGACGCCUGCCCGGUGCCGGAAGGUUAAUUGAUGGGGUCAGCGCAAGCGAAGCUCCUGAUCGAAGCCCCGGUAAACGGCGGCCGUAACUAUAACGGUCCUAAGGUAGCGAAAUUCCUUGUCGGGUAAGUUCCGACCUGCACGAAUGGCGUAAUGAUGGCCAGGCUGUCUCCACCCGAGACUCAGUGAAAUUGAACUCGCUGUGAAGAUGCAGUGUACCCGCGGCAAGACGGAAAGACCCCGUGAACCUUUACUAUAGCUUGACACUGAACAUUGAGCCUUGAUGUGUAGGAUAGGUGGGAGGCUUUGAAGUGUGGACGCCAGUCUGCAUGGAGCCGACCUUGAAAUACCACCCUUUAAUGUUUGAUGUUCUAACGUGGACCCGUUA